rnacentral:misc_RNA from 1 species
GAUGAAGAACGUAGCGAAAUGCGAUAAGUAGUGUGAAUUGCAGAAGUACCGUGAAUCAUCGAAUCUUUGAACGCAAAUUGCACUCUCUGGUAUUCCGGGGAGUAUGCCUGUUUGAGGGUCGCUUAACAAACCAUCGAUUUCGUUGCUUUUUUUUUUAAAGUGAUGUUUAUCGGAUUUGAGCCGUCUUUUUUUUUUUAUUUAAGUGGCUUAAAAUUGAUUUUUUUUGUACGAUCGAAGCGUAUUUUUAUGAUCAAUUUUUGGUUAAAGAAACGCACACGUACCGUUAUUUAUAUGAUGUAAUACGUUUGACUAUUGGAUUUAGUUCAUUCGUAUACGAUAUCUUUCAAUAUUUGACCUCAAAUCAGGUAAGAACACCCGCUGAACUUAAGCAUAUCAAUAAGCGGAGGA